GACGAACGCUGGCGGCGUGCCUAAUACAUGGAAGUGGGACGCAAGGGAACACACUGUGCUUGCACACCGUGUUUUCUUGAGUCGCGAACGGGUGAGUAACGCGUAGGUAACCUGCCUAUUAGCGGGGGAUAACUAUUGGAAACGAUAGCUAAUACCGCAUAAUAUUAAUUAUUGCAUGAUAAUUGAUUGAAAGAUGCAAGCGCAUCACUAGUAGAUGGACCUGCGUUGUAUUAGCUAGUUGGUAAGGUAAGAGCUUACCAAGGCGACGAUACAUAGCCGACCUGAGAGGGUGAUCGGCCACACUGGGACUGAGACACGGCCCAGACUCCUACGGGAGGCAGCAGUAGGGAAUCUUCGGCAAUGGACGAAAGUCUGACCGAGCAACGCCGCGUGAGUGAAGAAGGUUUUCGGAUCGUAAAGCUCUGUUGUAAGUCAAGAACGUGUGUGAGAGUGGAAAGUUCACACAGUGACGGAGCUACCAGAAAGGACGC
rnacentral:rRNA from 1 species